rnacentral:sRNA from 1 species
UAUUCUACCCUACGGGGAAGGAUGAGAAGCUUCGACUAAGGUUCGACUCGAGCGCCAGCGAGAGAACGUUGCCGCAGGCAACGGCCCGAAGGGCGAGGAGCGAUAGCGACGAGUUAUCCUUC